rnacentral:tRNA from 1 species
GGAGAGGUGGCCGAGUGGCUGAAGGCGCACGCUUGGAAAGCGUGUUUACUCGCAAGGUAACGGGGGUUCGAAUCCCCCCCUCUCCA